rnacentral:rRNA from 1 species
GAGAAUGUCGGCUUGAGUAGCGCAAACAUUGGUGAGAAUCCAAUGCCCCGAAACCCUAAGGGUUCCAGAGGCAGGUUCGUCCACUCUGGGUUAGUCGGGACCUAAGGCGAGGUCGAAAGGCGUAGUCGAUGGAGACCGGGUCAACAAUCCCGGACUACAAUAUGGGAGCAAAACUAGGGACGCAUGAAAGAUAGCCACGCCCUGAAUGGAUUGGGAAGACCGUUACGACGGUCGAGUGGUGAAGGAAAGUGUCAAGAAAAGCUAGGGUUGUGAUGAACAUAUAGUACCCGUACCCGAAACCGACACAGGUAGGGAGGUUGAGAAUACCAAGGGGCGCGAGAUAACUCUCUCUAAGGAACUCGGCAAAAUGGCCCCGUAACUUAGGAAGAAGGGGUGCCUGCCGAAAGGCAGGUCGCAGUGAA